rnacentral:tRNA from 1 species
CCACGAGUGCUGGAAUAGUUAUACAGAGCGUGCUUAAAACACGCCGUCUUAGGACAUGCGGGUUAGACUCCCGCCUCGUGGACCA